rnacentral:rRNA from 1 species
AGAUUGAACGCUGGCGGCAUGCCUAACACAUGCAAGUCGAACGGGAGUAGCAAUACUCUAGUGGCGGACGGGUGAGGAAUACGUAGGAAUUUGCCCUUAAGUGGGGGGAUAACCCGGGGGAACCCGGAUUAAUACCGCAUGACCUCGAAGAGCAAAGUGGGGGAUCGCAAGACCUCACGCUUUUGGAGAAGCCUACGUCGGAUUAGCUAGUUGGUGAGGUAAUGGCUCACCAAGGCGACGAUCCGUAACUGGUCUGAGAGGAUGAUCAGUCACACCGGAACUGAGACACGGUCCGGACUCCUACGGGAGCAGCAGUGGGAAUAUUGGACGAAGUGGGACGCCGAAAGCCUGAUCCAGCAACGCCGACGUGUGUGAAGAAGG